CCUGCUUCGGAUUCUGUGUCUCCCUCUCUCUCUGCCCCUCCCCUACUCAUGCUCUGUCUCUGUCUCUCAAAAAUGAAUAGAUGUUAAAAAAAAAAAAUUAAAAAAAAAAGCUUUCUGUCAGUCUCACUUAUGAAUAUAGUUGCCAAAGUGAAAUAUUGGUAAAGAGAGACUAUUAAAACAGUAUACCAUGGCAGGUGAGAUUUAUUCUAGGAACGUGAGGAUAUUUCAGUUCUUCUUAAUGUACUUUUUCAUAUUUAUUAGUCAAAUGAGGAAAAUCAGAGUUGUCUUAACGGGUGCCAGAAAGACAUUUGAUAAAACUUAAAACCCACUCCUGGUUGUGAUCAUAACCAUGGCAGAACACAAGUAAAAGAAUAUUUCACACACACACAUAUGUAUGUGUGUCCAUAUAUAUUUAUAUAUUGUUUAUAUUAAGCAUGAAGGCUCUAAAGACAAAGCAUUUUUGUCUGACUUCCUCUUGAGCGAUUUGAUGGAUUAAUCACCUCCACUCCCCUCCGUAAAACUGAUGGCCGCCGCCGCUGAGCCCACGUGCCACAGUCGGCCACUUCCUCGAGUGCCAGUUUGCGCCUCCCUCCACCCCACUUGGAUUCUCCGAAAGUUAGGUGUGUGUUUCUUCACAAGUCUGUUUAUGCCACUGUGGGUAGCGUUGUAAAAUAAUAUACGCUAACUAAACAUCAUGAAAACUAUUGCACUAUGAGGAACAAAAAAAAGAAUUCCCAGGAAAUCCAAGGUGAUGCUUUCCCAGGAAUUCUUUUUUUUGUCUCUCCUAGCGCAACAGUUAUCACAAUUUUUAGUUAACGUAUAUAUAUAACAUAUAUAACCAAAGGUGAGCCACUGAAAAACCCUGUAGGGCACCUGGGUGGCUCAGUCAGUUAAGCGUCUGACCUCAGCUCAGGUCAUGAUCUCACGGUUCCUUGGUUUGAGCCAGUUUGUGCCGACAGCUGAGAGCCUGGAGACAACUUUGGAUUCUGUGCCUUCCUCUCUCUGCGCCCUCCCCCUGCUCUUGCUUGCUCUCUCUCUCAAAAAUAAACAUCAAAAAAAAACCCACAAAAAAACAAACCACACCUGCUGUCAAAGUAGGUGUGAACAGGACAACUAGGAUUUGGGGGGAUCCAGUAAAAAUUCCACACUUGGAUUGCUUCGCUCAAGUCUUAAGUUCUCUUUCUUCUUUAAAGAGACAGGGACUCAAGAAGACAGCUGUAGAUUUCCCAUCGGAGGGUCCAUACUCCCAAGAACAGGCGCUCAUCUUUACCGACCAGCAUUUGCACCAGAUAUCAUAACUGAGGGAAGUUACUGCAGAUGUGACUGUCCUCUUCAUAAAAGAAGCGACUGGGAAAAGAUUAGAAACGCAGGUACUUCUUUGUUUCUGCAUGUUUGUUACGCGUUUGCAGUUGUGCCCACUUUCUACUUACGCGUAGGUGCUCGUCCUGUUGCAAAAUCGGAGGGCGUGCUGGCCGGUCCUGCGGGAAGAACAGCAGGCGGGUUUCCUCUUGAGGUUUAUUCUUGUCAGAACAUGACGCACUACUGAUUUAUUGCAACAAAAUGACAAUACCAUAAAUAAAUGUUCAGCGCAGUGGUCAGUUAGGAGCUAAGUGCACCAAAAGGUAAUAGUUUUAGUUAGUAAGUUACUAUAAAAUGCCAUUUUAAGAUGACUCUCUUCACAAAGACACAGAUCAUGCCUACAUAAAAAUACAUAUAGGACCUCUGUGAAGAAAACUCUUUACAUGCAAUGUUUUUAAAAGCUUACUUAUUUUGAGAGAGAGAAUCCCAAGCAGGCUCUGCGUGGUCAGCACAGAGUGCAACACAGGGCUCGAACUCACAAACUUUUGAGAUCGUGACUUGAGCUGAAGUCAAGAGUCGGAUGCUUAACUGACGGAGGGAGGCACUCUUUUUUUGCAUGAGGAGGCAUUGUUCACCAAAGUCUCCCCCAGAGUAUGAAUUUAAUAAAAUCCAAAAUAGUGUCUGCAUAUAUUUGCUUCUGUAUAUGUUUGGGUUUUAAGCUACAUUUUGAAAGAAUAAAUAUGAGAAUAGCUAGGAAGUUUCUUAGAAAAACACUGGGAGGGACUUGCAUGCCCCGAUACUAAAGAGUACAGCAGGACCCUAGUGAUUAAAACUGCAUGACUGGUGCAAAAAUUCAUGUAGGUCAAUGAAAGAGUCGGGAGUUCAGAAUGACUCCAAAUGUAAGAAGAAAUGAGGGACUUUUCAAUUCAGUGGCAUUGGCACAACUGGUUCCCUAUGUGGGAAUGGCAGCGCGGCAUACCAAGUAAGUGCAAAGACGAGACGUUGCCUGUGUUAAAAUCUGAACUUGCCGGUACUUAGUGCCUGGGACCUUGCAUAAAUCACGUAACCACUCUGUGCCUCACUUUCUUCAUCUAUUUUCAUACCUGUGGUGCUACUGCAAGGGGUAAGUAGGUUUAUAUUUGUAGAGGGCUCCAAGGGGGAUCGGUCGACAGAAUUACCUACUCUUUAAGUAGCAGCUGUUGUUCUAUCAUUUAGGAGAGAAAAAGCCUAAUCCCUAUCUUCUCCCCAAUAUACACCACGCUAAAUUCGAGCGGAUUAAAGAAAUUAAAAAAACAAAACAAAACAAAAAAA